rnacentral:rRNA from 1 species
UCCGUCACAGCCAUAUCACCCUGCAGCCCAAGACUGGUUGCCCACUGAAGCUAAGCAGGGUUGAGCCUGGUCAGUACCUGGAUGGGAGACCUCCUGGGAAAACUAGGUUGCUGCUGGAA